rnacentral:sRNA from 1 species
UGAAACAGUUGCAGAAGAAGAAAAAGGUCAAA